CCUUCCUCCAACACUAAUAAAAGCCCAGGAUCCCAGGGAUAAGAGCACCUCUGCUAUCACACUCUCAGGCAGUUGGCAGUUGUGUUGCUGGCACCAAGUCCUCCGGACCCAACUCAGACAAGACUCAUGGCAUCAAGAAACUAUAUCACUGCAGCCAUUGUCCCCAUCUUCUUCAUGGUUAUCCUGUCCUGCUCAGGUGCUCCAGUGACCCCCACGGAUUCCCAAGUGAUUGUGUGCCAGCCCUGGCUCCUGUGUGGGAUCGUGGCCUACAACCCCCAGGAGAAUCAAUGCUGUGAGGAUGGCAGUGUUCAGCCCUUGCCCCUGAGCUGUGGUCCUACAUUCAGCUAUGACCCCUGCUUUCAGCAUUGCUGCCCCGACUCUUACCGGCAGAAGUACGUUGUGGUCAAUAAGACCAGGGCAGGGACCGAGAGAGGUGAUUGUGAAAUGGCGCGCUCCCAUUAGGAGCUGACAUCAGGUGAAAGUUGGCCAGAAGACUCCUCCUUUCUCCAAAGGCAGUUUCCAGAUCUCAAAAGAUCAAAGGACUUGAUGUUGACCCAAAGUUUGGGGUUUCUUCAGUGGAUGGGUC
ensembl:lncRNA